AGCUCUGUAAGCGUAUACCAAAGUUGUUGCAGUUAAAACGCUCGUAGUCGGAACUUGGUGGGCGAUUUGCCACGUCCUCGCGGACGUCGGCAGGUCGGCCGCCUUUGUGGAGGGGGAUCUAGUGGUUCUUUACUGCAUCGCUAGGUCGCUGCCACCGUUUACUGUGAAAAAAUUAGAGUGUUCAAAGCAGGCGUUUGCCGUGAAUACAUUAGCAUGGAAUAAUAGAAUAGGACCUGGUUCCUAUUUUGUUGGUUUGUUAGGAUCGGGUAAUGAUUAAGAGGGAUGGUUGGGGGCAUUUGUAUUCCAGCGUCAGAGGUGAAAUUCUUGGAUUGUUGGAAGACAAACAGCUGCGAAAGCGUCUGCCAAGGACAUUUUCA
rnacentral:rRNA from 1 species